AAAACGUCGUGAGACAGUUUGGUCCCUAUCUGCCGUGGGCGUUGGAAGUUUGAAGGGGGCUGCUCCUAGUACGAGAGGACCGGAGUGGACGAACCUCUGGUGUACCGGUUGUGACGCCAGUCGCAUCGCCGGGUAGCUAUGUUCGGAAGAGAUAACCGCUGAAAGCAUCUAAGCGGGAAACUCGCCUUAAGAUGAGACUUCCCCGGGGACUUGAUCCCCUUGAAGGGUCGUUCGAGACCAGGACGUUGAUAGGUCGGGUGUGUAAGCGCAGUAAUGCGUUCAGCUAACCGAUACUAAUUGCCCGUACGGCUUGAUCCU
rnacentral:rRNA from 6 species